rnacentral:tRNA from 1 species
CGGGGCGUGGCGCAGUCUGGUAGCGCAUCUGCUUUGGGAGCAGAGGGUCGCAGGUUCAAAUCCUGCCGCCCCGACCA